rnacentral:piRNA from 1 species
UGUCUGAAGGAUAGGUGCCUGUAUGGCUCUC